UUACCCAAUCCUUUUGGUUCUCACGGUUUGUCUCCCCCACCAAAAAUCCUCCCAGUCGCUGCACAGACCCUUAUCGAUGCAGAACCGCGUGCGCCGGAAGCUGUAACCCCAGAAGGCGACCUGUCCUCGCGGGCGUCCUUCAUCGCUACUCUCAAGUCCCUCACCCUGUUGCCGUUGCACAUCUCACCGUCACUGCAGCCCAGCUCCUACGCGCUACGCCUCCGACCGAAUUGAAGCCAAGUGAGUCGUCACCGCUGAACCGAUUAGCUGCACUAUUCUCCUCGCGCGGAAGCCGUCAUCUCCAGCAUACCCGUUGCACUGGUGGUAGCCGAGCAUCCGAUCCUGGAAGAUUAGCCGCCUGCUCGUCUACCAAUCACCGGGACCACAACGAACAUCAUCGCCAGUAGUAGGCUAACCAUCCAAGCUUGGAUCACUAGAUUUUCACACCCCAAACGCCAAAUUGCAUUAAGGGGACUCUAACAAGGAAAUAUUUGCUAUCUGGAUAUAAAGACACUGUUGAGGGCCUUGAGGAAGCUAGAGAAAUUGCACUAGCCCAAGUUCAAAGUUUUAACAAGACAGGCGUCCUUAAUUGCAAUGAGGUUACCUACUUCUUUUGUAAGAGUUAAAUACUUAGAAUUAAGGGGGACUAUUGCGUGAGUAAAUUAUCACGGUGCUCCAACAAACCAUUUUUUACACCGGCCAAACACAAACUCAGAUGAGUAAAAAGAAAUUAGUCGAGACGCGAUGCUCACCUUUCUACAUUAACAACUUAUUUACCCACUUGGAACAACAUAAUGAGCACGCUAAGUUGGCUGAGAUUGAGGCCAUUGGUUUUGAUUUUCUACGGCGGGUACCGCAAUGGCAUGUGAAGCAGAGCAUCAUGCUCCAACUAGCUAGGGCCUAUGACGUGGAGUCAAACACUCUCAGGGUCGACGCAGGGGACAUCGCGUUACCGCCGAACUGAUCGGCAAUGUAUUCGGCAUACCUUCUCAAGGGGACCCAAUCCCGGAACUGCAAAAAAAAUGCAUCGCAUUUGGCAAUUAAGAGAGUUUCAGAAGAAAACUACAACACAACUGCGGGACUUUGUCUUUGCUUGUCCAAUGAAGACCGAGCAACAGAGGAUGACCUUUAGACGAUACUUUAUCCUGGUGGUUUUGAAGAUGUUUCUUAGCCCCACAAGCCAGUAGAUUAUUUCUCCGUGGCACCUCCCUCUGAUAUUGGAUGUCUCGAACCCAAAAAGAUUUCACGAUAUUAAAGUAGUUGCGAGAUGUGAUAAGGAUAUUCCAAGAUCAGAACCGAAAAACAUGCGGCAGGUGCAUGUUCGUGUUGCUAGUAUUGCAACUAAAUUUCCUAAAAUUUAAAAACAUGUACAACCUAAGGUGUAAGUCCUAAUAUUUAAGUUACUUGUGUAUAUGUUUUGUACUUUCAGCGCUUAAAGCAUGGUCCGUUGCAUGCAUGUCAAGUACCUGAGCCUUAGAUUGUUGAAUGGACCGCUAAUGAAUUUGAUAAGAAGGCCGACCAUGUUAUCUCACAGGUUCAAUCUCUAAUAAUCUCAUUUUUAUAAUCAAAUUGAAUACAAAUGUCAUUAGAGGUUCACGUUGAUUUUUUUCUAUCUUUGUUGUCCCGUAUUGAACACACAGGAUUGCAUAGCCGACAAUGUUAGGAAAGAAAAAAAACAGAAGAAAGAGUCUAAUAGUAAAGCAAUAAACAAAAAAGGAAGGUGUAAAAGGCCCCGCAAGGACCCUGACCAAUCGCCGUCUACCAGGACAAGACUACAUCCCAGCACAGAUUACCUUAUCCGCACAGAUUACCUUAUCCGCAUUCUUAUAGUACCUUAUCCGCACAGAUUACCUUAUCCGCAUUCUUAUAGCUUUGCUGAGAUGUAGUCUUGCUCUGGGUAGACGGCGAUUGGUCAAGGUCCUUGCGGGGCCUUUUACACCUUCCUUUUUUGUUUAUUGCUUUACUAUUAGACUCUUCCUUCUAUUUUUUUUCCUUUCCUUACAUUGUUGGAUAUGCAACCCUGUGUGUUCAAUACAGGACAACAAAGAUAGAAAAAAAUUAACUUGAACCUCUAAUGACAUUUGUAUUCAAUUUGAUUAUAAAAAUGAGAUUAUUAGAGAUUGAACCUGUGAGAUAAUAUGGUCGGCCUUCUUAUCAAGUUCAUUAGUGGUCUAUUCAACAAUCUAAGGCUUGGGUACUUGACAUGCAUGCAACGGACCAUGCUUUAAGCGCUGAAAGUACAAAACCUAUACACAAGUAACUUAAAUAUUAGGACUUACACCUUAGGCCUUACAUGUUUUUAAAAUUUAGGAAAUUUAGUUGCAAUACCAUCAACACAAACAUGCACCCGCCGCAUGUUUCUCGGUUCUGGUCUUGGAAUUUCCUUAUCGCAUCUCGCAACCACUUUAAUAUCUGAUACGGCCAGUGAAAUCUUCUUAGGUUCGAGACAUCCAAUAUCGGAGGGAGGUGCCACGGUGUGGGGCUAAGAAACAUCUUCAAAACCACCAGGAUAAAGUAUCGUCUAAAGGUCAUCCUCUGUUGCUCGGUCUCCAUUAGACAGGCAAAGACGAAGUCCCGUAGUUGUGUUGUAAUUUUCUUCUGAAACUCUCUUAAUUGCCAAAUGCGAUGCAUUUUUUUCUGCAGUUCCGGGAUUGGGUCUCCUGCGUUAAUGAAGCAGUGUACAACAAUCGGUCAGUGUCAACAAUGGAAAAACAAAAACCACGCAUAAGAAUUUUUACAUGUUACAUAACUUUGACUAACCUCGAGAAGGUAUGCCGAAUAUAUUGUCGAUCAGUUCGACGGUAACGUGAAUGUCCCCUGCGUCGACCUUGAGAGUGUUUGACUCCACGUCAUAGGCCUUAGCUAGUUGGAGCAUGAUGCUCUGCUUCACAUGCCAUUGCGGUACCCGCCGCAGAAAAUCAAAACCAAUGGCCUCAAUCUCGGCCAACUUAACGUGCUCAUUAUGUUGUUCCAAGUGGGUAAACAAGUUAAUGUAGCAAGGUGAGCAUCGCGUCUCGACUAAUUUCUGUUGAGGAAAAAAUAGGAUCAGAAUAAAGUCAAAAAAUAUAACAUCACCAGAUAAGUUUUCAUGUUGGUUUGAUAAAUUCUCUGCAACGGCAGACGGAAGAUAAAUUAGCGGUUCAACCAUAUCGCACUCCAUUAAUGAAUUUCGGCUCGGUAGUGUGCAUGAAGGAGGACCCUCGGUUGAAACACGUUCGUCUUGCGAUGUCGCCAUUCGAAAGAAGGCAAACCGGCUGCGCACUGUCCUUGCUGGAGGUCUGGGUUACUGUGUCGGCGAGAAGAUCCUGCAAACCAACGGGACGUAGUGCUGGGCGGUGGACUGUGCGGACGAGUGAGCAGUGGAAACAGACGCUAAAGCGGCGAGAUUCUCAAAUUAAUCGAGAGAAUGGGGUCACGCCGUCUUAAGAGAGGGAGUUCAUUGUUUUGAUUCUAUAAAUCCUAAUUUGUUUCAAAUUUCAAAUUAGAAAGAAUUCAAAAUUAAAUAAUUACCCAUAAUUUAAUUUUAAUUUCAAUUAAAUCCCCAUUGUAUGUAUUGUACA